rnacentral:rRNA from 1 species
UACGGGGGGAGCAAGCGUUGUUCGGAUUUACUGGGCGUAAAGGGCGCGUAGGCGGCCACGACAAGUCACUUGUGAAAUCUCCGGGCUUAACCCGGAACGGUCAAGUGAUACUGUCGGGCUAGAGUGCAGAAGGGGCAGCUGGAAUUCUCGGUGUAGCGGUGAAAUGCGCAGAUAUCGGGAAGAACACCCGUGGCGAAGGCGGUUCUCUGGGACGGUACUGACGCUGAGACGCGAAAGCGUGGGGAGCGAACAGG